rnacentral:misc_RNA from 1 species
AAUCGAACCCCGCUUGCCAGGUUUUGGUCAAGCGCCGAAUCGAUGAUCACCCUCCACAAAUCACCGUCACUUUUGUCAAUGGAGUCGAGGAGGUUUUUGACGGCGCUACUGUUUCUGCCCAGACGUUGAGGAACAUGAUUUUGGAGAAGGGUCAGCUCAUUGAGACUGAGCAAAUGUUCCGUCAAGCUGGACAUAAAUGGCCUGUUACUAUUCCAGAGGAAGAGCUUCACCAGCCUGGCCCUGUUACCAAGCUUGAAAGUGAUGGAGCAGCAACAGAGCAAACAAAUGAGAAGCAACGUCUCCGGCGAGGUCACUCGGAAGUUCAAAUUGGUAUUAGAAUUCUUGGAUGGAAAAUGUGAAAUUUCUGUGAUGUUAGAUCAUACCUAGUAUGGAAGAAAAAAUAGUCCUUUUGUUUGACGAGAGAUUUCUUGUAACCGUCUUCUCAUUGGAGGUAUCUUGUGGGAGUGGUAAUAUACCAAGAGGUGUGUUCACCUUCUGCUAUUACUUUGGGACCAGUACUGUCAGAUACUUACUCCUAUUUGCACUUACACAUGUUGGAUGUCUUGUCCUUGGUAUUCUUGUUCUCUUAGAUAGUUAUUGUUUUGGACAAGUGGUUUCUCUUGUUCCUUUUGCUCAGAAUUUUUUAGCACUAACAACAUCAUGCAUAAAAAUUC